rnacentral:rRNA from 1 species
UACGUAGGGUGCAAGCGUUAAUCGGAAUUACUGGGCGUAAAGCGUGCGCAGGCGGUGAUGUAAGACAGUUGUGAAAUCCCCGGGCUCAACCUGGGAACUGCAUCUGUGACUGCAUCGCUGGAGUGCGGCAGAGGGGGAUGGAAUUCCGCGUGGUAAGCAGUGAAAUGCGUAGAUAUGCGGGAGGAACACCGAUGGCGAAGGCAAUCCCCUGGGCCUGCACUGACCGCUCAUGCACGAAAGCGUGGGGAGCAA